GUUUUUAUGGUGUAAAUAACACGUAACUUUUUCAAAGUUAAACUAACUAACCUUUAAAAACA
rnacentral:tRNA from 1 species